rnacentral:rRNA from 1 species
UACGUAGGGUGCAAGCGUUAAUCGGAAUUACUGGGCGUAAAGCGUGCGCAGGCGGCUUUGCAAGACAGAUGUGAAAUCCCCGGGCUUAACCUGGGAACUGCAUUUGUGACUGCAUGGCUGGAGUGCGGCAGAGGGGGAUGGAAUUCCGCGUGUAGCAGCGAAAUGCGUAGAUAUGCGGAGGAACACCGAUGGCGAAGGCAGUCCCCUGGGCCUGCACUGACGCUCAUGCACGAAAGCGUGGGGAGCAAACAGG